GAUGAACGCUGGCGGCGUGCCUAACACAUGCAAGUCGAACGGAGUUACUUUGGUGAAGUUUUCGGAUGGAUCUGAUUUAACUUAGUGGCGGACGGGUGAGUAAUGCGUGAGCAACCUGCCCUUCAGAGGGGGACAACAGUUGGAAACGACUGCUAAUACCGCAUAAUGUAUUCGGAAGGCAUCUUCUGAAUACCAAAGGAGAAAUCCGCUGAGGGAUGGGCUCACGUCUGAUUAGUUAGUUGGUGAGGUAACGGCUCACCAAGACUGCGAUCAGUAGCCGGACUGAGAGGUUGAACGGCCACAUUGGGACUGAGAUACGGCCCAGACUCCUACGGGAGGCAGCAGUGGGGAAUAUUGGGCAAUGGGCGAAAGCCUGACCCAGCAACGCCGCGUGAAGGAAGAAGGCCUUCGGGUUGUAAACUUCUUUUAAGAGGGACGAAGAAGUGACGGUACCUCUUGAAUAAGCCACGGCUAACUACGUGCCAGCAGCCGCGGUAAUACGUAGGUGGCGAGCGUUAUCCGGAUUUACUGGGUGUAAAGGGCGCGUAGGCGGGAAUGCAAGUCAGAUGUGAAAUCCAGGGGCUUAACCCUUGAACUGCAUUUGAAACUGUAUUUCUUGAGUGUCGGAGAGGUUGACGGAAUUCCUAGUGUAGCGGUGAAAUGCGUAGAUAUUAGGAGGAACACCAGUGGCGAAGGCGGUCAACUGGACGAUAACUGACGCUGAGGCGCGAAAGCGUGGGGAGCAAACAGGAUUAGAUACCCUGGUAGUCCACGCCGUA
rnacentral:rRNA from 1 species